rnacentral:rRNA from 1 species
GACGAACGCUGGCGGCGUGCUUAACACAUGCAAGUCAGGGGGCGGGGUAACCCGUCACCGGCGAACGGGUGCGGAACACGUGAGCGACCUGCCCUGGUGUGGGGGAUAGUCGGCCCAACGGCCUGGUAAUACCGCAUACGGCGCCCGCCUGGAAGCGGGAGGCGAAACUCGCUAGAGGCGCCAUGAGGGGCUCGCGGCCUCUCAGCUAGUUGGUGCGGUAACGGCGCAUCAAGGGGAUGACGGGUAGCUGGCCUGAGAGGGUGGCCAGGCAGAUUGGGACAGAGGGCCGGCCCAGACUGAUACGGGGGGCAGCAGUGGGGAAUAGUGAGCAAUGGGGGAAAGCCUGACGCGGCGGAGCCGCGGGGGGGAUGAGGCCCUUCGGGGUGUAAACUCCUGUUGGCCGGGACGAAUGCCCCGAAGCGGCGGGGUUGACGGUACCGGGUGAGGAAGCACCGGCUAACUCUGUG